GGGAAUGUGGCUUAGUGGUAGAGCGCUUGCCUUGCAUGCAUGAAGCCCUGGAUUUGAUUCCUCAGUACCA
rnacentral:tRNA from 1 species